rnacentral:lncRNA from 1 species
AUUAAAUAAAUUUUAAUCCCACUUUGUAACACAAUAAAAUGUGAAGAAAUCCAAGGGGUCUGAAUACUUUUGCAAGGCACAGUAUCCUAUUCUCUUAAAAAAGACGGCACUGAGACCCACAGGCGUUUGAAUGAUUGAUUAUGCAGACAACACUGUGAACUUGCCUCAGGCACUAAGUUCAAGUCGUUAGACGCACAAACACAUCCAAACUGAGUCUAAAAUGUAAUGUUUGUGGUGUCUCUUGAUCCUAUGAAAUGUAAUUUUGACAGCAUACAGGGUUUAUCCCCACAGUGCAACAAAGCUGCUUCCAUCAGUGUGCAACCAUGACAAGGAUUCCUGGUGCAGGUAUCAUGGCUCGAGAUUUCUUUGAGGAAGAAAUCAUCAAGAUAUAGGGUCCAGCAUAUAUCAGAGAGGUGUUUCUGGGACCACAUCGUUUCUUUGAAGACAAUACCCAAAAUACAAUGCCGCCUGGGUUUGCAUUGCAAAUGGGGACAUAAACGGUGUCAAGACACCAGCAGAGUCGCCUGAUUUAAACCCGAUCAAACUUGUUUGGCAUCAACUGAAAACAUUAAUUCGUAACUCUGCCAAGCCUACAAGCAAAGAUGAACUGGUCAAGGCCAUCAAGACGUUUUGGCUAGAGAAAUUGACAUACAACAAUGCAACAAAUACAGUGAUCAUCUCAGCAAGGUUUUACCUGUGGUCGUAGAGCUGGGUGGAAGUGCAACUAAGAUGUACUUUAAAUAAACAUCUGCAUAUUGAAUGUCUUUUUCCUUGUUAUUUUAAUAACGAAAGCAUAAAGAUGUUGAUGAAGAAAUACUGUACUGAUGUUUUGAGUUAGAAAUGUAACACUUUACUGGAAUUAAGCAUCGAAUACAUUGCAAGUAGGGGCAUGUUCACACCUACAAUAGCCGAGCUAUAAAGAGUCUAUUAUCCUGCUAAUACUGUGGUGCUAGACCUGCUGCAGUAUACUUGUAAAAAAACAAGUGUUUGUAAACCUGUUUUCAAAAUGCCUCCAACUGUCCAUCACUUCUGUAAAUGAAAAACACAACAUCUUGUUUACAUCCUGUUUACAUUCUUUAUUGUAACCACAAUGUCACAAAUACUUUGUAUCUACCUUUCCAAUUACUUUUAGUUUGGGAUCUACAAAUGUGCCCUUUUC